GUGUUUGCCGGAGGUAAGGUCCAUGAUCGAGCUUGCUCUCUGGGCGCCGGCUUAGUUGGAAAUCAAGUGUUCAGGCUGGAGGUAAGGACCCUGAUCGAGCUUGCUCUCUGGGCGCCAGACCUGUUGGAUUAAGAGAGCCGAAAGGCUAAGACAAGUGACCAGACUGGAGGUAAGGUCCCUGAUCGAGCUUCGCUCUCUGGGCGCCAGUCCUAUUGGAAUGAGAUUAGUCAGGAU
rnacentral:lncRNA from 1 species